UACGUAGGUUCCGAGCGUUAUCCGGAUUUACUGGGCGUAAAGCGCGUUCAGGCGGUUUGGCAAGUCGGGCAUGAAAUCUCUCGGCUCAACCGGGAGAGGUUGUCCGAUACUGCUGGACUUGAGGGCAGUAGAGGGUGGUGGAAUUCCGGGUGUAGUGGUGAAAUGCGUAGAUAUCCGGAGGAACACCAGUGGCGAAAGCGGCCACCUGGACUGCACCUGACGCUGACACGCGAAAAGCUAGGGGAGCGAACGGG
rnacentral:rRNA from 1 species